UGAAUGCUCCUGAUCCAAUUAUCAACACUUGCAGUGACUUUUACAAAUUCUGGCAGGCAACCCAUGAUUUGCACGAUGCCAUAAAUCUUAAGCAGCAUUGGUAGCAACUGAUCCUAAGGAAGUUAAGCUUGGUGAUAACUUAGAGGAAGUCGCAUGUGAACCAAGGACACAACACAUUGAUGCUCUGCUUGAUAUCAUUUGUGAAGUAUUGUCAUAGGAGGAGCUGAAAUAUCAUUUUUUUAUCAGUUGUCUAUUAGUUUAGCAUAUUGUUGUCAGAAUUUA